rnacentral:rRNA from 1 species
UGAGGAAUAUUGGACAAUGGGGGCAACCCUGAUCCAGCCAUGCCGCGUGAGUGAAGAAGGCCUUAGGGUUGUAAAGCUCUUUCAGAUGCGAAGAUAAUGACGGUACCAUCAGAAGAAGCUCCGGCUAAAUUCGUGCCAGCAGCCGCGGUAAUACGAAUGGAGCGAGCGUUGUUCGGAAUCACUGGGCGUAAAGCGUAUGUAGGCGGAUAUGAAAGUCAGAAGUGAAAUCCCGGGGCUCAACCCCGGAACUGCUUUUGAAACUCCAUAUCUAGAAUCCUGGAGAGGUUAGGAGAAUUCCGAGUGUAGAGGUGAAAUUCGCAGAUAUUCGGAGGAAUACCAGUGGCGUAGGCGCCUAACUGGACAGGUAUUGACGCUGAGAUACGAAAGCGUGGGGAGCAAACAGGAUUAGAUACCCCCGUAGUCC